GUAGAUAUAUUUGCCUAAGUUGGUGGAUAGAGACAAAAGUUAAAAUAGACGAUUCGGAAAAAGAAUUACAAAUAAAGGAUAAAGUGAUUGAGAGGACAAGUAAUGACAAGAACAAAAUUUCAUUAAAGAAAAGAUACAAAGAAAACUAAGCAUUUUUAUCCGCCGAGUGAGUUGCCGCCUCAAUGGUGUCUUCACCUCCUUUUGGUUAGUCUUUUAAAAAUAGUAGAAUUGACUACGCUUGAUUCUUGAAAAUGAAAAAGUUGUCGAAUUCCUUUCGUCCUCA
rnacentral:lncRNA from 1 species